UUUCCGUAGGUGAACCUGCGGAAGGAUCAUUAAAGAGAGUAUGCCCUUCGGGGUAGAUCUCCCACCCUUUGUUUAUAUUACCUUUGUUGCUUUGGCAGGCCCGUCUUCGGACCACCGGCUUCGGCUGGUCAGUGCUUGCCAGAGGACCAAAAACUCUUAUUAUUAAUGUCGUCUGAGUACUAUAUAAUAGUUAAAACUUUCAACAACGGAUCUCUUGGUUCUG
rnacentral:misc_RNA from 1 species